UAAUUGAUCAUGCUACGAUUUGAGCACAAAGUUGAAGGUUACGGGAAUGCAAAAAAUAAAUAUGGAAAAUAAAAUCAACUUAAUCGGCACUUGGCAUUCAUAUUCGCACAAAUAGACGAUUUAAAGUCUUCAAUGCUUUUUUUUUUUUUAAUGUUGGAGGAAGCAUGAGAUCCCUGAGAAAACCGAUGCAAGAAGGACUUGGGCUGAAAUUCAAACCCAACAGAACUUUGAGGCAAAACUGCAAACCACUAGUGCACUAUGCUGUCAGGUCAAAUCUUUAUCCUUCGGUUUGGUCGUUCCUUUCCGUUUUUUUUUUUUUAGGAUUAAGUGGCGUAAAACGCUAACAAUGCAAAAAUAGCAAUAAUCAAGAAGUCCACAUGAAGAAAAAAAAAAGGCUAGAUAAAACAUUAUUCAAAACUACAAAACCUAGCAUGUAAAAGUGCGACUGCUAAUUAGGAGGCCAUGUUGGAAGAAUUAUUUCCGGGGUCAUGGCCAAAAGUUUCUAAAUGGUUGACGUCACGUCUUUUAUUUUGUUGGAAGGCAUAAUAACGGCUUGUGGAAGGACAAAAGCUCUUUUUUAUUUAAAAAAAAUAGCAACUUUAAACAUCUUUGGACAGGUUUAACAGAUUCCUCAGCGUGUUGCCAAGGCGUGACGACCAGCAGAUGGUGCGAAAGACCGCGCAAAAGCACACUGCCGGCUGCCGUGGAACGUUUUUCCGCCACUGAGACAACACAGCCUCGGCAGUGCCUCGUUGAUGCGGCUUGCGAUUGAACGGCUCACGUGGCCGACUGCAGAUGACUCCGACGGUGACCCUGAAGUAGACUUGAACUGCACAAGACCCAACUUGUGUGGACACUGUGCUGGCGUAAACCUGGUCCAAAUACAGUUUGAUCGAGUUCCGAAUAGACGAGCCGAGAUUCCAACCCAGAACUUCUCCACUGCGGGCCAGACGUGCCACCCACCAUCUCACGCGCCAUUCUUCCAUAUAAAGUAAGUGGAUUACGUCUAGACGCACAAUUAUUUUAUAGAGGAAUUCCGAACACUUAUUUGAUUGUAAAAUUUAUAGGCCGCAUAUUUCAGGCUACCGUCGCCUUAUUAAAUUCUCUACACAGCAUUAAUGCUACAUGCGUGUGUGUGUGUGCGUGUGUGGGCUGGGUUGGCGGGCGCAGGUUAAGUCGAUUUUAUUUUUAUAUCGACUGCUUUAUUAUCUCGUUGCCCAAUCAAGUCUUUGCAAAAGUGUGCCCCCUGAAUCCUUAAGCGCUCAUUUGUUUUUUUUUUAUUUUUUAUUUUUUUUUUUAUUUUUAAUGAAUUAGCCCACGUCAUUAGCAUGCAUGCGACAGUUUUCUGGUCGUUACGCAGGUUCUCACCAAGCAAACGCGUCCAUUUUGGGUCGGGUGGCAAAUCGAGGCCGUCGUGGACAAUUUUAAGAGGACAUAUUAGAAAUGACUCGUUUUUAAAGAAUUAUUCUUCUCUCUGGAACAUUAUAGCUCGUUAUAGCUUAACUCCCAAUUUGUGAAAAAGUAUGCAGCGUAAGAACGAGGCUCAUUUAGAAAAUAAACCCCCCCUUCCAAUGAGAUACUCCAUGACCUGAUCAGCAAGGCGGGGUGAAGAUCCAGAGCUACUUUCAAGCUCACUACAUCCCUAUUAAUCAUA